GAAAGGUUUUAGGUUUGUGCA
rnacentral:siRNA from 1 species